AUAAAUGCCAUGAUGAGGAGUAGUAUUUUUUAGAUGAAACAUAGAGAGAAAAUGUUUGGUGGAAAUUUUCAUGAGUCUAAAAUUGAAGUAGCCUCUUAGCUGUGAACUGAACAGGUUUUAUUAAGUAGGCUUCACCGGAUUUUCUACCGUUAAAAUGAAAACGAUAUGAUUAAGUAUCGAUUGAGCGCAAAGAUAUUUUCUUUGAAUUUAGGUGGUAACACGGAUUUAGUAAUUCGCCCUAAGC
rnacentral:ncRNA from 1 species